GAGCUGCUUAAGUGGGAGUGCUCAUGGCAAGAGAAGCCUAACGAGAUGAUUUUGGUUUAUCAUUGGGACCCCUGUUAUUGAGUAUCUUUAUUAAUAAUAUUGUACAAAUUAACAGCUCUGUAGAUUACGUAAUCUACGUGGAUGACAUCAGUCUAUUCUUUUCUGGUGAAAUGGCUGAUGACCUCACGGCGUCUGCAAAUCAAGUACUAAAUAAGAUAUAUGCAUGGACUAUAGCAAAUUCACUACACAUUAAUUGCUCUAAAACCAAGGCUGUACUGUUCCAUGCGAAAUCCAAAUUACACGAAACCUGUUUUAAGCUAACCCUUAAAAAUAACGAAAUUGAAUUUUCCCAAACUGUUGAAACUCUUGGUAUUCUCUUUCACGAAUAUGUGGCAUGGAAUUACCAUACUGAACACAUAAGCCAUAAACUUUGCAGAGUUUUAGGUGUGUUGCGCCAAUGUCAGAAUGUAUUUCCUGUACAAAACUAUUAUUAUAUAACGCUCUUUCUUUCUUCGCAUCUAUACUAUAGUCAUCUGGUUUGGUCCACAGGCUCUAAAGCAUCAUUAAGUAAUCUGGUUUUCCUGCAAAAAAAAAUGCCCUGCAGUGUAUUUUAGGUGUAUCACAUAACGCACACACGGAUCAAUUAUUUAUGAAGUAGAGAAUUUAAAGAGUAAAUAGUUAUUAUGAAUACCAGCUUUUGUCAACUUUUAAAUCAGGAAUACGCAGGGGAAGUACCCUCUUACAUACUUUGGCUGAUUUGCAAUGAAAUCUGGCCAGUCGCCUUACUGGUAUGUACCAUGUUCUCGCACUAAUUAUGGGCUGCAAACGUUACAUUUCUGUCUUCCGAGUUUAUUGAACAAAUGGAAAUUAACAGUUGAAAAUUUACGUAUGUUGUCCAAACUGAUAUACUACAUAGGAUGUCCUGAAUGUGCUAUUCAUGUAAUAUUAGGUCAUUUUUGUGAUGGUUAAUUAGUGUCGUACAAUUAUCUAUUGCUUUGGUAGUUAAUGUUUUCUUAUGUAUUUCAGAGUUUUAUUUUACGCUUUGCUGUGACAGGCCACAUGCAUGUACCUUUUAUAUUGUCGCUCUCCACUGCUUGUAAUUUUGUAAUUUAGUUUUGUGGGUGAUGCGACCAGUCAAGCUGUGAAAUGCAGCUUUUUUCUCACCACACCUAACCACGUCCUUGUGUACUCUUAUGUACCUGCCAUGUGGUUGAAUAAACUUAAACUCAAAACUGCAUGUAAGUGGCCGGGCUUCUUUGAAUAUGGUCUAACACUAUGUCGAGUGUUUUGUCCAAGAAAAGUGUUGAAAAAUUAAUAUUGACCUCGUGAAGAAUAUGUUUAUCUUACACUAGUUAUACACUCAUUUUCAUGCACUCUUACAUAGGGGUCAUAAUUUAAAAAUAUUUAGAGAAAAUAGGCAGAAUCUGGUCAUCAGCAUUGAUUCCUCUUUGGUAACCUAUCUGGGCAAUGACAUUUAAGCUGCACUUCUUGUUUCUAAAAAAAAAAAAAGCUUUAGGUACCCAAAUGGAUGCUCCGACCCAAGCCUAACCAAAUAUUGCCUUCUGAUAUGACUCUUACCUACGCGAUUAUGCAUUGAGUGUAUGGAUUCAGAUAUCUUGAAGACCAACACGCAAUAUAUACUAAAAACCAGCUGGAGUAUUUGUCAAGCUACUCAUUGUAAGUGUACAACCUGAAUGUGUUUAUAUCAAACGAAACUGUUCAGUCUUAUCUAAAGCUUCCUUUGUGCCUCACAUCAUGUUAUACAUGGUGUUCUGAAGCUAUUGAUCUGUAUGGAUCAAUUUUCUACUGCAUUUUUAUGUGUGAUGAUAAUUUUGAAAUUUCAAGAUUUUUAUGUCUUUGAAGCAGUAUUCUCUUUUUAUCACUCGUUAAUCCACCCUACCAACGUUUAUCACUUUGCGCAUGUGCAACGGGAAGUACAUGUUGGUGAGUUAGGCCAGCUUCACUGUCAUAGUUAAUGACUUAAAUUUUGUCAAAUAAUUUAUUAUAUCAGGCUGGACGUCAGAGGAGCAUCAAGACAUGUUCUUUUAUCAAUGCCUUUCCUAAGCAGCAUAAUUACAGCUCCCAUGAGGAAAGCAGUGAUUAGUAUGUUCGGAUGUGUUUAUUUUCAGGCCUCCCCGUGAAACGGCUCGAAAGGUCUUGGAAACUGAUGCCCCACAUCAAAAGUUGGACUCUGAUCAAAAGUGGUUUUAUCCACAAUUCAGCUGGUCUGCAGAGCCUGUACUGUGAUCUCUAGAAGAAACAUUGCAGUUAGCAAAAUGCAGUCAGUGUAAAGGUAUCUGUGUUCACCUCCUGACAAACUUGCUAAAAUUGUCAACCUGAGAUUGAAGAAUGUAGUGCUCAAGAAAUACCCUCACACCUAUUGGUGAAUAUGUUUUCCACACUCUGAAAGAAAAAGCAUUGCGAAGAAGACUUGUGCAGGAUAACGUAAAUUAUGAUUAGUAACAGUAGUGUAGUAGCAGUGAUAAUGAUGGGCAUUUAUUAUGCACUUCUUCCACAUGUCUAUAUCGUCAUCAUGCAGUGCCUUUCUUCAUCGCCUGCAUGGGCACAUGGGCAUGGGCAUGGGCACAUCAUCAGUGUGGACUGUGCCUGGACCCUCCGCCCUGCCUCUUAAGCUUACCAAUAGGCUGGCCAUAACUGCUACAUUAUAUGUGAUGUAUGUGGUCCUUGUUCCUCUACCUGCUCGAUCUACCCUGUAACGCCCACUUACCACUAUGAUGUGCCCAUGCCUCCUCCAAAAUGUUCAAGAAGUUGUGUUGUUUGGGUUUUCCCAGAGAUUCAGCUUGCCAUCCUCUUCUUGAAAAGCAUCCACUUGUUUGCUCUGUUACAUGACACAGCAGUUUGAUAUGCGAUUGACUUACCAUUGUGUUAGCGAUAUGACUGUUUACUGCUCACCACCAGUGCUUUUCUUGCCCGGAACAAGUGUAAUGGUAAAUCUGCUUUCUGCCCUGCCACUCUACUGAAAUAAUAUAUAAAAAGAAAGACAGAAGUAGAAGAAGCUUUUAUUGAAGUGACUGGUAUGUAAUCAUCAGGGUAAUGAAAAAUGCAAUGUACUUGCACAGAACAUAAUAUAUAGCGUUAAAUUGUGCCUGUCUUCAGAGACCUGUGUAGUUGGUGCUUGUGUCAGUGACAGAAAUUCUAAGCGGUAGAUAAGUUACUUUACUUUGAAGUUUCAUCUUGCUUUUGGUAAAGCACUGGAAGAGGGUCAUGGAAAAUGCUUACAGUGCACUAACAGAGCACAGAAAUGCCGCAGUAUCCUUUUCUACCAAAAGAUGUGAUGCGUUAUAACGAUUAUAAAUGCUACGUAUAUUUAUUUAUUUUAGUUUUGCAUUUAUAUUUUCUUCUAUAUUUAUUUCUUUUUUUCAUUCACAUUGUCAUGAAUGCAACUAUAUUCAUAUUUCAUAUGCUUCAUGCAUUCAGAUAUUAGUAUAUGCUGUUGUUGUGCUGCAUUGUAUUAAUUUAGUGUGAGAAGAAACAUGUACACUUCGUUUAAUAGGUGAUGGCACAAUACAGUGUUACAUAUACAAAGUAAUUUGACUGUUUAGGCAUAAUAUCAAAAAUUACAUGCCAAAUCUGACUUGUGUUGCCGAAGGGAGUUUGUAUUCGGAAUAUUUAUUUACAUUUACAGAGAUAAAAACUUGUUUGAUGCACAUGCUGCAUUAGUGCUCUGCCGCCACAACAAUGAUGUGUGGUUUGGAUAGUCCAAUAUUAUUGCAUAUUUUGCCUACAGAUGUGCCAAUUCUUUUUGGCUGCCAGGUGUAGCACUCUAGUUCCAUCAAGUGUGUUC